AGGUGAAACCUGCGGAAGGAAUCAUUUACCCGAGAG
rnacentral:rRNA from 1 species